rnacentral:rRNA from 1 species
GCCAGCCGCUCAGAACUUAAGGAAUGACGGGGCCGCACAAGCGGUGGAGUAUGUGGUUUAAUUCGAUGCAACGCGAAGAACCUUACCUGGUCUUGACAUCCCGGAGACCCUUAGGAAACUAGGGGGUGCUUCCAUCUGGAAGAAUCUGGAGACAGGUGCUGCAUGGCUGUCGUCAGCUCGUGUCGUGAGAUGUUGGGUUAAGUCCCGCAACGAGCGCAACCCUUGCCUUUAGUUGCCAGCAGUUCGGCUGGGCACUCUAAAGGGACUGCCGGUGUUAAACCGGAGGAAGGUGGGGAUGACGUCAAGUCCUCAUGGCCUUUAUGACCAGGGCUACACACGUACUACAAUGGCCGAUACAAAGGGCAGCGACACUGCGAGGUGAAGCCAAUCCCGUAAAAUCGGUCUCAGUCCGGAUUGGAGUCUGCAACUCGACUCCAUGAAGUUGGAAUCGCUAGUAAUCGUGGAUCAGCAUGCCACGGUGAAUACGUUCCCGGGCCUU